AAGUCAUCCCUUAGCCUCCAACACUCUAAGCAAAAUAGCCCCAACCUGUUCAGCCUCUCCCUGUAGCUGAAACCCUCAAGUCCCAGUAACAUCCAGGCAUAUUCCUGACCUCUGUCUCGUAGAUGGUGAGAAUGAUGGGCUUCUGGGGAGACAGGAAGUCAUUUACACGCUGAAGGAUUCCCAAUCUUUGAUUUGCACAUGUAGCCACAGUAUCUAUGCAGAUGGUUUAGUUACAUUUCUGAUCAGUACUAAGCCCCUGCCCAAUCCCCAAGACGUUGAUAAUUGGAGAUUCAACAAUGGUAAUGCUGUUGAAUAUCAAAGAGAUGAGGUUACUGUGAUUCGUGUUGACAGUUCUUUUGCCCGAAACGUCGAUUUUCUUGCUUCUCGGAUGCUGCCUGACCUGCUGUGCUUUUCCAGCACCGCUCUAAUCUAGUUCAGAGAGGUCAAAGACCCUUUGGCCCAUCGGGUAAGCAGCGGUCACAAACAAAACCACAUGCUAGAGCAGUCUAGACACCUUACAAAAAUGUAAGUCAUGACAGUAACUGCAGCUAAAGCCAUCCAGUAAAAGCAGGAUAGUUUUUCCAGUGAAAUACAGCCAGUAGGGAAUAGUUACAUAAUACAUAAUCUGAGUGUAGAUUCAAUCCCAUUCCCGACAGCAGUGGAAUUCCAGGAAUGAUUGAUGCCAAUUAGCACAAUCUAUCAUUAUAAUUACCUGCCUGUUUUAUAACCUGGAGAUGUACAAGACCCUGAUUGGUUAAUAAAGAUAUAUUUAAUUAUGUAAAA